rnacentral:rRNA from 1 species
CAAUAGCGUAUAUUAAAGUUGUUGCAGUUAAAAAGCUCGUAGUUGGAUUUGUGGCGUACGGUGUGUUCCGGGCACUUGUUGUCUGAGUAACCUGCUGUUGCCAUCCUUGGGUGGAACCUGUGUGGCAUUAGGUUGUCGUGCAGGGGAUGCCCAUCAUUUACUGUGAAAAAAUUAGGGUGUUCAAAGCAGGCUUAUGCCGUUGAAUAUAUUAGCAUGGAAUAAUGAGAUAGGACUUUUUUGCUAUUUUGUUGGUUUGCGCAAAGAGGUAAUGAUUAAUAGGGACAGUUGGGGGUAUUCGUAUUCCAUUGUCAGAGGUGAAAUUCUUGGAUUUUUGGAAGACGAACUACUGCGAAAGCAUUUACCAAGGAUGUUUUCAUUAA